UACAUGUGGGGCAAGCGUUGUUCGGAAUUACUGGGCAUAAAGGGUGCGUAGGCGGCAUGCCAAGUCAGGGGUGAAAGGUUUCGGCCCAACCGGGACAGUGCCUUUGAUACUGGCGUGCUUGAGUGCGUGAGGGGUGACUGGAACGAGUGGUGUAGCGGUGAAAUGCGUAGAUAUCACGCGGAAGGCCAACGGCGAAGGCAGGUCACUGGUACGCAACUGACGCUGAGGCACGAAAGCGUGGGGAGCAAACAGG
rnacentral:rRNA from 1 species